CCACGCUCUCAGGGGCUACCCCAGUUAAGGAGGCGCUGUCCUGGCGUCGGAUGGGGACGGGGAACGCGGCGAGGGCGCUGCGACCUCUGCCCACCUGGCCCGGCCGCAGUCUCGGAGUUCCUGUUCCUCACAGGAGCUAAUUAUUUAUGACAGCUGCAUGGUUCCCCUCCCCCAGUUACUCAGUGCUUGGCACUCGGCACCCCUUACUCAGCACUCAGUACCGCACUCGGCCUCAGGGGACCUGGGCAGAGGGAAGCAGGGAGUCUCCCGCGGAAACUCUUGCUCUGCCAAAGGCCUGGACAGCAAAUGAGGAAGACUUAUUGCAGAAAUUCAGAGCCUAGUGACCUGGACCAGGGUGGAGGCAGCAGAGGAGAGAAACAGAUGAUCAAGACUCUGCUAGCAGGAGAAAAAGAGAGAAAAGAGAGAUGAAAAAGUCUUGUGUGACCAGAAGCUUAUCAACCUUGUGUGCUGUUGGCUUACUUUAACAUUUACAGCAGAUGAUAGAAUUGUGUUCAGAUGACACAAUAAGGUAUCAAAUGACUUCACGAAAGCAAGACGGCACUGAACCCCAAGUUUGUGCCUUCAGUCUCUCGCCUCGGCACCUAGGUAAUCCUUUGCCCACAGGACCACACCACCCUCCCCCAGUGAGAGGAACCAGAGUGACGGGAAAGGGAAGCCCCACACAACCAGCACUCGAGGCCCGGCCCACUGGGAGCACUGGGUGGCCUGGCCUGGGAAAGCCCCUUGUGCCCCUUGGGUGGCACCAGCAGGUACCCGUGGGAGCUCCAGCAGCACCAGACAAACCAAGCAGACCCAAGAUAGCACCAUGAAGGCUCUGAACAUCAAAUUGUCACUGGAAGCAUGGCCUGCAGAAGCGGGCCACAAUCCUCACACUAAACCUAAGCAGAGCGACUGGCUGCAAAAAGGAAAGACUUAAAAAAUAGGAUCCAGAGACCUUCCUCUUCCUCAUGAGUUUUCCAAAUCACACUUGAUUGAAACAAAAACGUUAGCACCAUCUGAGACUCAGGACAGUGAUAUUUAUGAGCGGGGAGGGUAAAGGAAGCUCCAUGCUAUAAGUUCCGCACCUCGCUUGAAGUAGGAAAAGGCCACGGCACGCAGGACUCACUGAGUGGCUACCAAAAGAAACCAACGCUGAGCUAUAGCAUGGCAAGCUAAUACUACAUUUUGGAAAAGCACGCAUAUUGAAAUUUGCGUCAUUUGUGCUAUUAUUUGUGCUAUUAUAAAGACCUGACGCCUGGUGGAACCGUGCUUACAAUGUGUGGGUACUUAAACGCGUGUUCUGAAAAACUCCUCUGCUGCUUCUUCCUCUGAUUUCACAUUCGGUAAACCUGCAAGUGCACACAUUUCAUCCCCUUGCAAGACUGUUGUCAGUGCUCAGUAAGUCUACAUUUUACAUAGGAUGAGGUGAUUACAAAGAUGGCACCAUGGAUAAACGACACUACCUGUGUUAGCAGUUGUGACUUUUCCUUCU
rnacentral:lncRNA from 1 species